rnacentral:rRNA from 1 species
UACGUAGGGUGCAAGCGUUAAUCGGAAUUACUGGGCGUAAAGCGUGCGCAGGCGGUUUUGUAAGUCUGUCGUGAAAUCCCCGGGCUCAACCUGGGAAUUGCGAUGGAGACUGCGAGGCUAGAAUCUGGCAGAGGGGGGUAGAAUUCCACGUGUAGCAGUGAAAUGCGUAGAGAUGUGGAGGAACACCGAUGGCGAAGGCAGCCCCCUGGGUCAAGAUUGACGCUCAUGCACGAAAGCGUGGGGAGCAAACAGG